ACUCCUACGGGAGGCAGCAGUGGGGAAUAUUGGACAAUGGGCGCAAGCCUGAUCCAGCCAUGCCGCGUGAGUGAUGAAGGCCCUAGGGUUGUAAAGCUCUUUCACCGGUGAAGAUAAUGACGGUAACCGGAGAAGAAGCCCCGGCUAACUUCGUGCCAGCAGCCGCGGUAAUACGAAGGGGGCUAGCGUUGUUCGGAUUUACUGGGCGUAAAGCGCACGUAGGCGGACUAUUAAGUCAGGGGUGAAAUCCCGGGGCUCAACCCCGGAACUGCCUUUGAUACUGGUAGUCUUGAGUUCGAGAGAGGUGAGUGGAAUUCCGAGUGUAGAGGUGAAAUUCGUAGAUAUUCGGAGGAACACCAGUGGCGAAGGCGGCUCACUGGCUCGAUACUGACGCUGAGGUGCGAAAGCGUGGGGAGCAAACAGGAUUAGAAACCCGAGUAGUCCCAU
rnacentral:rRNA from 1 species